rnacentral:lncRNA from 1 species
CUUCACUUUCGUUCUAGCCGACCCUAAUCUCUUCUCUCGUCUCUGAUCUCUCCCUCAUCUAGCCGACGAGCCCUCAUCUCAUCUCUCUCUCUGUGACGAAUUCCGGCCAACCACCGGCCCACCACCACACUUGACGAAUUGCAGAGUUCACUACUUCACUUCUUCCUCGUCCUUUCCUUCCACAACCCACGGUCCACCUUAGGCAUCCUCUUCCUUCUUCUUCUUCCUCCACCUCAGGUAAAAAAGUUCGUAACUUCCGUGUUUCCUUACUUGUAAAUUUAAGACUGUUUGGAUGUAUAUGUUGUUCUGUUUGAAUUAAUGUUUGGGAUUUAAGACUGCUUGGUUGAACUUUGAACUCGUGGGUAACAGUCACUUGAAAUGGAAAAAAAGAGAUUUCCGAAACGUUUCAGUUAAUAUGAUGUUUGGUUGGUUAGGUAUCGGUGGUUGGGAUGGUUUUCGAUAAGCCGAAAGGAACACUGAUGUUGGUUUCACUGUGGAUGACGGGACAGGGCGAAUCAAGUGCUGAAGAUGGUAACUUUUUGCAUUGUCCGUUUUGAUUCCGUUUAUAUUAUCACAAUGUUAAUUGUUUGAAGAGUUUAUUGCGUUUUGAUGUUCAGUGCAAUGCAUAAUCUAGCAAAAUAAGCUAGACAUGUGUUUCGAUUAUAUGGAUAGACGCAUAAUGAUAUAAGUUCUGAAUCUUCUAUGUUUAAUUAUCUCAACAG